AGUGGCGAACGGGUGAGUAACGCGUGAGGAACCUGCCUCAAAGAGGGGGACAACAGUUGGAAACGACUGCUAAUACCGCAUAAGCCCACGGGUCGGCAUCGACCAGAGGGAAAAGGAGCAAUCCGCUUUGAGAUGGUCCCGCGUCCGAUUAGCUAGUUGGUGAGGUAAUGGCCCACCAAGGCGACGAUCGGUAGCCGGACUGAGAGGUUGAACGGCCACAUUGGGACUGAGACACGGCCCAGACUCCUACGGGAGGCAGCAUG
rnacentral:rRNA from 1 species